rnacentral:rRNA from 1 species
UGGGGAAUUUUGGACAAUGGGCGAAAGCCUGAUCCAGCAAUGCCGCGUGUGUGAAGAAGGCCUUCGGGUUGUAAAGCACUUUUGUCCGGAAAGAAAUCCUUGGCUCUAAUACAGUCGGGGGAUGACGGUACCGGAAGAAUAAGCACCGGCUAACUACGUGCCAGCAGCCGCGGUAAUACGUAGGGUGCAAGCGUUAAUCGGAAUUACUGGGCGUAAAGCGUGCGCAGGCGGUUUGCUAAGACCGAUGUGAAAUCCCCGGGCUCAACCUGGGAACUGCAUUGGUGACUGGCAGGCUAGAGUAUGGCAGAGGGGGGUAGAAUUCCACGUGUAGCAGUGAAAUGCGUAGAGAUGUGGAGGAAUACCGAUGGCGAAGGCAGCCCCCUGGGCCAAUACUGACGCUCAUGCACGAAAGCGUGGGGAGCAAACAGGAUUAGAUACCCUGGUAGUCCACGCCCUAAACGAUGUCAACUGUUGUGGGGAUUCAUUCCUUAGUAACGUAGCUAACGCGUGAAGUUGACCGCCUGGGGAGUACGGUCGCAAGAUUAAAACUUAAAUGAAUUGACGGGGUCAUAGCUGUUUCCU